rnacentral:rRNA from 1 species
AGUAUUAGUUAUGUUCUUGAAAAUUAAAAAAGUUGGCGGUAUUUUAGUCUAUUUAGAGGAACCUGUCCUAUAAUCGAUAAUCCACGAUUUGAUUAACUUGUUGUUUAAGUUUGCAUAUCGCCGUAGGUUGAAUAUUUUUAAAGAAUUAGGAAUGUUCAAUAAUUUUAUAAAAAAAGAAUUCAGGUCAAGAUGUAGCAGAUAAAUAAGGAGAGAUGGGUUACAAUAAAUUUAUUUAUGACUAAUUAAUAAGUUUAAUUUUAUUAUGAGGGUGGAUUUAAGGGUAAU